rnacentral:rRNA from 1 species
UACGGAGGGUGCAAGCAUUGAUCGGAAUUACUGGGCGUAAAGGGCGCGUAGGCGGCUCUAAAAGUCAGAUGUGAAAUUCCAGGGCUCAACCCUGGAGCUGCAUUUGAAACUUUAGAGCUAGAGUACAGUUAGGGAAAACGGAAUUCCACGUGUAGCGGUGAAAUGCGUAGAUAUGUGGAAGAACACCGGUGGUGAAGACGGUUUUCUGGGCUGAAACUGACGCUGAGGCGCGAAAGCAUGGGGAGCAAACAGG